UCAGUUUUGGUUGCUUCUUCUUGCUGAAUUUCGAAAUUUCAAUGUACACUCCUUGUUGCAAGAUUUGAGGGCAUUUUUUGUUUGUUGUGUUGCUCUUGUUGUGUACUAUCUAUAGUGAAAGUUGAUUUGUCAAUUGUAUCUCUAUGCCUCGGUUGUGUGAAUCAUUGAAGCACCAAGCAUUGGUGCAGCUUAGGAGUGGUGUUUCUACAAGAAAAGUUGCAGACUCACUUGGAAUGAGUCAGUCUUCAGUAGCUCAUCUGAGGAGGGAGAUUAGUGGUGAAAUAGAAAAGCAAAGAGGAGGACGUCCAAAGGUUUCAGGAGAGCAAGAGAAGCGACUUGGUGUGCACCUUAUCACUGCUGGUUGUCUCAAAAUGGCAA
rnacentral:lncRNA from 1 species